rnacentral:lncRNA from 10 species
CGAUACGUCUCCUCCUCUCAGAGGCUCCGAGGAAGGGCGUGGGCGCUGGAGGGAGCAGGGCUCAGCCGGGUGCCCCUCCCGCCAGGCCCCACCGGGGCUGAGCCUCUUCUGUCGCCCGCAGGAGACAGAACUCAAGGUGGAAGUACCGGAGUACCUGGGGCCGCUGAUGUUUGUGAAACUGCGCAAACGUCACUUCCUUCAGGUUCUGCAGCUGGAUCUCCGUGUAGGGCCCCGGAGCCGGGGACGAGGUCAGGUUCCCUUGUUACCGCUGGGUGGAGGUCGACGGCGUCCUGAGCCUGCCUGAAGGCACCAGGGCGAGAAGAGGCGCUCACCAAAAGUCACUGGCCAAGCCCUCCUCUGGCCUUCUAGGCCGUACUGUGGGCGACGACCCUCGAGGCCUGUUCCAGAAACACCAGGAAGAGGAGCUGGAAGAGAGAAGGAAGUUGUACCGGUGAGCCCUCCUCCCCUGACCCCACGUGAGCUGCUGAUGCUUCCAGCACCCACGCCUGAUUUCCUUCCUGCCCUACAGGCCCUGUGUGUGGUGUAGAGUUCCUAGAUGACAAGACAGAGUCCAUGUCCUCAAGGAAUGUGCGGUUAUACGAAGGAUGCAGGCACAGAAACACACAAGCCCAGGGAUGGAAGGGUGGAGAAACGCCACCCUCUUGACGAAGAAGAGGGCUCUGGGCAGCCUGUGGCUGGAGAAGUUACCUCGGAUCCUUUAGCCAGAGCAAAUCCGCCCCCUAGUAGCAGCACGAUGCCCCAGGGCACUUUCUCCUGGGUUACCUUCCAAUCCAGCAGGGGAGGGGGAUAAAAUGGAGUUUUCCUUUCUGGGAAGAAAAAGAAACACACACACACACACACACACACACACACACACACACACACACACACACACCAGAGCAGCAUUAGAAGACAAAAGAAAUCUAAUCAAGGGGGAAUAAAGCUAAUAAGGACAAUGAGGUACCAUCUCCUACUUAUAAAUUAGCUAAAGUUUACAAUAAUAUAUACAUUGCUGGUGAGGAUAUGAUCAAACUAUUACACACACUGCCAAUAGCAUCGUAAAUUGGUAUGACCUUUUUGAAAAGCAAUUUGGCCAUACAUUUUAAGGGCCAUUAAGACUUUGUAUUCUAUCACCCCAGCAAUAUUACUCCUAGAAGUUUAUCCUAAAGAAAAAAUACCCUCAAAGGAAAAGCUAUAUGCAAGAAAACAUUAAUUUAUGAAAAUAAAAAAUUCAAAACAGCCAAAAUGUUCUAUAACAGGAGAAUGAUUACAACCCCUCAACGCAAUAUAAUGCCAUUAUUAGAGAAAAUAUAUUUGAAGACUGUAGCAAUAGUGGGAAAUGUUUAUAGUGUAAUAUCAAUCAAAAGUGGUAGAAGAAACAACAAACAAAUAGGAUUCAAACUGUGUGUGUUGAUUAUAAUGUAAUAUACAGGCAUAUUAGCAAAGACUGGGAGGAAGAGAGAAAACAAAAAAUUGUGCUGAAUGGAAAUCAGUGUUAUGGAAAAUUUGAAACAUUUUCUGUUCCUGUUGUAAUAUAAAUAAAAUUUCAAAUGUUAAAUU